rnacentral:misc_RNA from 1 species
UCUCCCAUCUGUAACACUAAAAACAAUUCAAAAACCAAUCUUCCCUUUUGUUGCUCAUCGCCCAUCUCUGUCUCUCUCUCACUCCGUGCAUCUUCCAUAUCUAUCCAUCUCUUUCUUUACCCUUUUUUUAUUACUCUUAACAUCCCUCGAAGCAAAUAUCCCACCUAUCAUUCCCCAUACUUACCCAAAAUAGAGAUUAAAAUAUCUCCAAAACAGAGAUUAAAAUAUCUCCAAAACCAGACCCAACAUCAGCAAAACAUGAAAGGUGAAUACGGAGAGCCACGCCAUCCAUCUAAGCAUGAAAGCGCAACCCCUAUCAACAUGUUCUCCAAACUCCACCCUCAUCCCCACCACCACCACCUUCCCUUCACCCAGCACUUCCAACUCUCUCGUGAAUCUGAAGAUGAUGACACUAGAAGCACCGGUGCCGCCGCCGUAGCUACCCU